rnacentral:rRNA from 1 species
UACGGAGGGUGCAAGCGUUGUCCGGAUUUAUUGGGUUUAAAGGGUGCGUAGGCGGCCCGUUAAGUCAGUGGUGAAAGCCUCCAGCUCAACUGGAGAACUGCCAUUGAUACUGACGGGCUCGAGGAUGAGAUGGGUAGGCGGAACUCCAGGUGGAGCGGUGAAAUGCGUAGAUAUCUGGAGGAACACCGGUGGCGAAAGCGGCCUACUGGACCAUCACUGACGCUGAGGUGCGAAAGCUAGGGUAGCAAACGGG